GGGUCGCUGCUCUGCAUCGGGGUCGGGGUCUGGGGCAUUGAGUUAAAUGAACACUGCGUUGGGCUCUCCACUGGCACUGCGCCUACCUCUCUGCCAAUGCACUUUCCGUCUCUGUUUCGCUCGCACACCGCAAUUGUAGGUGGGUGCGAGCGCAAGAGCCGAGAGGGUGUUGCAAUUCUGUGCAGUUGUGCGAGUAGUUGCGGGUUCAUUGCACGUACACACACACGAACACACACAAACACAGUGUCGCUCCCAAAACGGACAGCGACGAAACGACCGACCGACCGACCGACCCACCCACCGUCACGUCGGGCCGACAGUCGCGUCGCUCUGGCUGCCUGGCUGGCUGGCUGUCGGUUGCGUGUCGGCCGCACGCCGUUGUUGGGGCCUCUGAUGUUUAGACCCGGCAUCGGCAUCGGUCGGUUUCGUCUCUUCUCCUCUUCUCCUCACACUCUGCAUCUGUGUUGUAUCCCCUCCCC
rnacentral:lncRNA from 1 species